rnacentral:lncRNA from 1 species
AUGUCCAUCGGGUCCCCAGCUGCUCAAGGUCCUAGUACCUGUCCCCUUCUGCUCGCUGGAGACGUGGUCUGGCAGCCAGGCAGUGAUUCUCCAGUGACCAUCCCCUCUCCACCUAUUCCCCGGGGCCGGGGUCCUGCAGCUGAAUACAAGCGUCUCUCCCCGACCUGCACAAACACAGGUGUAGGCACCACUACUUCGUUCGUACAACCCGCUGGAGACCUUGGCCCUGCACCCCCCAGGAGGAGGGGGGGCCUCUGCCAGCGCAAUCCCAGCUACCCACACCCACACCUGGCCCUGCACAGAAAACGUAGCCAUAGCUAUGGACUUGGAGAAACAUACAUUCAUCUUCUAUGCACAGCUGUCCCCCAGCUCUCCAGGCCCACUUACCUGAUGAUGACAGAAGUAACUCCGGCUACCAUCGACUGGGUACUCGCGGUGCAGGGCACCAACUGCUUUCCAUAUGUGAUCUUACUUAAUUUUCACUUGAUAAGGUAGGUACCACUGUGAUUUACAGGAGGGGAAACAGAGGCUCAGAGAGGUUAAGUAUCUUGAUCCAGGUCACACAGCUGGUUAGCGCCAAAGCUAGGAUUAGAAACCAGGUCCUUGUCAGACUCCAGAGCCUGUGGGCUGAAGUGCUGGGCAACCUUGGCUCCCACUUACUUCACUCGCACUCCCCUUCCAUGCAGCUCUGUCCUCUGUUUAUCCCCCCUUCCCUGGUGCUCUGCUCUGCCAGGGCCUCAAGUGGUCAAGAUCAUCAGGGUUCUGUUGGGAAGGCAGGUCCUUAUUCUGCUUGUCUCCAACCUCCCCCAACUACCCAAGGACCGACGUCCAGUCCCAAGCCUCGUGCAGGAGCCUGGGUCAUUUUUGCUGCCAAGGAGAACCGGGCAGGGUGACAGGAGCAAGUUCCAAUCACCGGUUAACACCCCCAGGCCGGUAACAUCCAUAGCGAUGAAGCUUACCUGCUGGCCUGAAAAGACGUCCUCGUAUAUUGCUCGAUUGAAAAAGGCAACAAAGCAGGGCUUUUUUUCUUUUUCUUUUCUUCUUUUUCUCCUUCUUCUUUUUUUUUUUUCCAGUAAUCUCUCCGCCCAACAUGGAGCUCGCACUCACAACCCCAAGGUCAAGAGUUCCACCAUCUGAGCCAGCCAGGUGUCCCAAGAAAGCAGGUUUCAAGCAAUGUACAGCAAGAAAACAUUUUAUUGAUGAAACAAAAGUAUUCUCUAUGUAUCAAAGCAUAGAAAAGGGAUAUUUGCCAAGUUGCUAAGAAAUGACUUUUGUUGUCUUCUCUGGCUUAUCUGUGUUUUCUAAUUUUUUUCAACGAACAUAGAUUAUUCACAAUAUUUUAAAAAGCAAUAAAAACGAAUCAAUCCCAGGCUGAUUAUACCUC